AUGAAAAUAUUGUGCUGGAACUGCCGCGGGAUAGGCGAUCCCGCGACAGUUCGAGAACUCCGCGAUCUCGUGGAGAUUUGUUCGCCUACUAUCCUUUGCUUAGUUGAAACUUAGUUGCAGAAGAGUCGUGUUGAGGGUCUUCGUUUUUCUUUAGGUUUUGAUUUCAGUUUUGGUGUGGGAAGUAGUGGUCGAAGUGGAGGUAUUUGUAUCUUCUAA
rnacentral:rRNA from 1 species